AACGCUGGCGGCGCGCUUAACACAUGCAAGUCGAGCGAGAACCGGGACUUCGGUCCCGGGGAAAGCGGCGAACGGGUGAGUAACACGUGGGUAAUCUGCCCUCGAUUCUGGGAUAGCCCGGGGAAACCCGGAUUAAUACCGGAUAGCCUUUCGAGCCUUCGGGCGCGGAAGAAAAGGUAGCUUCGGCCUCCGAUCGAGGAUGAGCCCGCGGUGGAUUAGCUUGUUGGUGGGGUAACGGCUCACCAAGGCGACGAUCCAUAGCUGGUCUGAGAGGACGAUCAGCCACACUGGGACUGAGACACGGCCCAGACUCCUACGGGAGGCAGCAGUGGGGAAUCUUGCGCAAUGGGCGAAAGCCUGACGCAGCGACGCCGCGUGAGGGAAGAAGGCCUUAGGGUUGUAAACCUCUUUCAGGCGGGACGAAGCCACUCGGGUGAAUAGCCCAGAGGGUGACGGUACCGCCAGAAGAAGCCCCGGCUAACUACGUGCCAGCAGCCGCAGUAACAC
rnacentral:rRNA from 1 species